AUUGGACGCUGGCGGCAUGGCUAAUGCAUGACAAGUCCGAAACGAAACGCCCGUUCGGGGACGAAAGUGGACGAAAGGGCGAGUAAUACGAUCGAACCGUACCCAAGGUGGAGGAUAGUGUACGGAAACUGACGGUAAUACUCCAUGUGCUCGUUCGGAAGGAAAGUCGUUUGGCGCCGUCGGGAGCGGCGAUCGUCCCUAUCAGGUAGUUGGUGAGGUAAUGGCUCACCAAGCCGAAGACGGGUAGCGGGUGUGAGAGCAUGACCCGCCGCAUCGGGACUGAGACACUGCCCGGACUCCUACGGGAGGCUGCAGCGACGAAUCUUCCGCAAUGGGCGCAAGCCUGACGGAGCAAUGCCGCGUGUGGGACGAAGCGUCUUCGACGUGUAAACCACUGUCAGAAUCUAGGAACACUGACCAGAUUCAAAGGAAGGGCCGGCUAACCUCGUG
rnacentral:rRNA from 1 species